rnacentral:rRNA from 1 species
UCAGGCCUAACACAUGCAAGUCGAGCGGAAACGAGUUAUCUGAACCUUCGGGGAACGAUAACGGCGUCGAGCGGCGGACGGGUGAGUAAUGCCUAGGAAAUUGCCCUGAUGUGGGGGAUAACCAUUGGAAACGAUGGCUAAUACCGCAUGAUGCCUACGGGCCAAAGAGGGGGACCUUCGGGCCUCUCGCGUCAGGAUAUGCCUAGGUGGGAUUAGCUAGUUGGUGAGGUAAGGGCUCACCAAGGCGACGAUCCCUAGCUGGUCUGAGAGGAUGAUCAGCCACACUGGAACUGAGACACGGUCCAGACUCCUACGGGAGGCAGCAGUGGGGAAUAUUGCACAAUGGGCGCAAGCCUGAUGCAGCCAUGCCGCGUGUGUGAAGAAGGCCUUCGGGUUGUAAAGCACUUUCAGUCGUGAGGAAGGUAGUGUAGUUAAUAGCUGCAUUAUUUGACGUUAGCGACAGAAGAAGCACCGGCUAACUCCGUGCCAGCAGCCGCGGUAAUACGGAGGGUGCGAGCGUUAAUCGGAAUUACUGGGCGUAAAGCGCAUGCAGGUGGUUUGUUAAGUCAGAUGUGAAAGCCCGGGGCUCAACCUCGGAAUAGCAUUUGAAACUGGCAGACUAGAGUACUGUAGAGGGUGGUAGAAUUUCA